rnacentral:siRNA from 1 species
GAAUAUGAGGUGUACACAAUAGGU